rnacentral:misc_RNA from 1 species
GGCAUUUGACCUUUUUGCACAUAACACCAAAUUUCUACAUUCAACAAGUUAUGAAUUCAUUUAGAUUACAAAAAUAGAUAUAUCUAAAUGUAAACUAGUAUGAUGAUUGAGGAUUAAGCCUGUGUGGAAGAAAUCCCUGAUUAGCUCACUUCCUGUGGGAACCAUGUAAAGAUCUUGGAGAUCCCUCAAACAGAUCCAAAAGGAAGUUCUCCAAAUCGUCCGCAGUAUACUUUAUGUGCUUGUCGCUUAUAUGGUUGGUGUGUCUUCCAACAAAUGUCCUGUAUCCCUGGAUAACCUUGAGUGAUGUUGAGAUUCGAAGAUCUUCACGAAGUUGACUAUCUGGGAUAGACCAUCCUGUCUGGCUCUUGUAGACAUCCUCAAAUGAGAGAUAAAAGUUGUUUAGUCUAUCCUUGAGAAGAGUUCUCGAGAUAGAAUUCGAGCCUGGAUUAUAUAGCCCUUCAUCUCUGAGGAAAGAGAGGAUAGAGCUCCAAGUAGCUCUCUCAUAGCUCAUUGCAUGAUGUUGGAAUUUCCAAUUAUGUUUUCGGAUCCAACCAUCACCUAGUAGUGUUCUUAGAUUGGAAUUCUUCACCUUCUCAGCCAUGUAAUGAAUAUUAUUCAUUAAGAAAAGGUGACCUAGUGACUCAUCCUUGUAUAACCUGGCCUUAUCCUCAAGGUUGCACUCCAAGAUUGAAGUGAAGGAUCGAAAAUGUUGAGCCAGCGGAGAAAUGUAACUGCGUCUGUCUGUGUUUUCUUCUUCUCUAUCAGGUGUCAUGUCUGGUAAAAUGGGCACUGAUUCUUCCUUCUCAUGGCCCUUCAGAAGCUCAUCAAGUGUCUUGCUAUAAUCAAUAAGAGUUUUCAUGUAGUUCAUGACAUACCUCGUGAGAUGGUGUAUUCCGCCACCAGGAAAAGGGUUGGCUGAUAUGCUGGAAGCAACAGCAUUUUCAAAUUCCAGAAAGGUUGCCUUUGCACAAUCACCCAAGCUUCUAAGAAUGUCUUGGCACUCUCUUCUAACGCAUAACCCCGCCUCAUCAGAGUACAUAGCAUCAAUAUCUGGGAUAAGAUCUGCAAGCACCUCAUACAUGUCAAGAAUCCGAAUCAAUUUCUCCGGUUGAUGAGGGCCAAUAGCUAUGGCUUCACCAAAGUUCAGAAGCUGCAAGAUUGAAGCUUUCGAGGCCUCAGCAAAGCAAACUGAACCAACUGCUUCCAGCUCACUAAAAAUCUGAUCACUUAGCCAUUUUUCACUGGCAAGAUAAAUGCGCACAAAGAUCUUCAUAGCCCGUAUCCACCUCCUGAUUUUGGAGUUCAACGAGUUCCAUUCCAUCUUCAAUACAUCCUCGAUGCUCAACUUCUCUACUUCAAGAAUGAAGAGGCAAUCAUCCAAGCCAUCUUUUCUGACAUUGAUAAAUGCUUGAGAACAUUCCCGGCCAUAAUUUGAAUCAAACAUCAAAUUGGCAAUGCAUCUUAGGUCAGGAAUAACAUCUGGAUGCACCAGUUCAAUGAUGUACUCCCCUGAACUCCUACUCAUGCUAUCUCUUUGAACCACAUCCUCAAUCGAGUCAUCCCCAAACGACACAAUCGAGCCAUCAUCCAACGUAUCAUCUUCACUGGAGCGAAAAGACAUAUGCUCCGGCUCAAAAGGCUGCCUGUUGUGAACAAGCAAAUGCGUAAACUCCUCCUCAAGACGAUUCAUUGCUGUUUGCAGAAGAUCAGUAGCCCUACGCAGAAGCUCAUCUUCUUUACUACCUUUAACCAAGUUCAAACUCUCCAAUCUCUCAAUCAAUUUUCGACCUUGAUCCACAUACCUCAAAUACUCAUAAGCUUCUUCCUGGCCACAAUCCCAUAUCAUUGACUUACCCACCUCCCAGUUCAUGACCUUACUCUGCACUAAAUUCAGCUCCUCCUCCAGCUCAAUAAGCUGCUCCUCAGUUUCACCAGCUCCCUCAUCUUCGGGUUCACUCACUCUAGUUAUAGAAGACAAUUGGGAACCUAGAUCAGCUAAAAUUUUCCUAGCAUCAUCCGUUAAAGUCCUAUUUGACCCCAACGCUUUCACAAUUUUCUGUGCAGCAGCUAUUAGGUUUUCUUCUUCUUCUUCCAUUAAGGGGACUGAAGAUUCACAGUCUCCCAUAUAAAUUCAAGAACCAAGAAACUAGCUCAAGCUUAAUCCUAAACAGGUAAAGACUGCAACUUUUUAACUUCUACGAAAUACCCAAGAAAUUACAAUCAAGAAAGAACUUCACCAAGAAAUAUUAUCUGUCACCUCAAAGCUCAAAUCUUGAAUAUGCAGAAAGAGAACAAAUCAGCAAACAAGAUCCAUAUAUGAAGCAGAGAGGAACUGACUCUUUUUUUAACAGUGGCAAUGAUCAGACAAAGAAUGAAAAAGAAAAAGGUGUUUUCUUGGAGAAAUGAAGCUCAAAAUUAGUGCAGAAAA